GUGAAGAACGCAGCGAAAUGCGAUAUGUAAUGUGAAUUGCAGAAUUCAGUGAAUCAUCGAAUCUUUGAACGCACAUGGCGCCUUCCAGUAUCCUGGGAGGCAUGCCUGUCCGAGCGUCGUUUCAACCCUCGAGCCCCCGUGGCCCGGCGUUGGGGAUCUGCCCAGGCAGUCCCCGAAAACCAGUGGCGGACCCGUUACAGGCCCUUCCCUUGCGUAUUAGCAUUCGCCUCGCAUCGGGAGCCGGCGGGCUUCCAGCCUCUAAACCCCCAUCAAGUCCGCCCCGGCGGCACCAAGGUUGACCUCGGAUCAGGUAGGAAUACCCGCUGAACUUAAGCAUAUCAAUAAGCGGAGGA
rnacentral:misc_RNA from 1 species